UAUGUGAUCGUCUCUCGCAUAUCAAUAAGCGGAGGAAAAGAAACUAACAAGGAUUCCCCUAGUAACGGCGAGUGAAGCGGGAAGAGCUCAAAUUUGAAAUCUUAAAGGGUUUUCCCUUUACGAAUUGUAGUUUAAAGAAGUGUUUUCUGUUGAGGUUUUGGUAAAAGUUCUUUGGAAUAGGACAUCAUAGAGGGUGAGAAUCCCGUAUUUGACCUUUACUUUCAACUUUGUGAUACACUUUCAAAGAGUCGGAUUGUUUGGGAAUGCAGUCCAAAAUGGGUGGUAAAUUUCAUCUAAAGCCUAAAUAUUGGCGAGAGACCGAUAGCGAACAAGUACCGUGAGGGAAAGAUGAAAAGAACUUUGAAAAGAGAGUUAAACAGUACGUGAAAUUGUCAAAAGGGAAGCGUUUGACACCAGUGUUGUUUUUCUGAAAAUCAAUUAAAGAACUGUUUAUGCUAAGCUUGUUUAGACUUUAUCAGCUAUCUGCUUAGUUUUGAGCUUUUCUUUAAUGCACUUUUCAGUUAACAAGUCAACAUCAAUUUCUUUUGCUGUAAAAAAGCUUGAGGAAGGUGGCUUGAGAUUCGUCUUAAGUGUUUAUAGCCUCUUGCCUAUGCAGUCGGAGAGAUUGAGGUCUGCAGCGUAGAUCCUUCGGGGCUAAAUGCAUUUGUGCUAAGUUAUAGCAUUUUAUAGACAACUUGUUGACUAUGAUUUGUCUUGUAGCUUACUCGCUUAUGUUAUUUUACCUACGCUUAGGAUGUUGAUCUGUAGUGCGUGCGC
rnacentral:rRNA from 1 species